CUAAGAAAACGGCGAAAGCUUGUUCGAAUUUGCGACAUGAAUUGUAAGACUGUGUGUUUGUGUGUGUGCAGUUGUCGUAUGUUUUCGAAAGGGAAUCCGGUUGAUAUUCCGGAACCGAGUAACGGAGACAAAGAGUAGCGCUUUAAUCUCUCUGUGGGGUUGGCGUUCAACUCAAUCGCGCGGUAACGCAAGCGAACUCGGAAAAUGACCGUCGUGAGUUUCGAAAAGAGUUUUCUUUUCUUUUUAAGGGACGCAUUCCCUGGAACCGGGUUGUCCGGAGAUAGGGAUUCUGGUAUCCAUAAAACGCCGA
rnacentral:rRNA from 1 species